CCCAGAGGAACCAGAAGCUGGGACUCUGUUCAGGCUCACGAGGGCCUGGUCUGGGUGAAGUUUCCUCCUGCCCCACCCUGCAAUGGCCACCAGGCUCCUCUGCUGGGUGGCCCUUUCUCUCCUGGGAGGAGAGCCCACACAUGCUGGUGUCACCCAGACACCCAGGUACAAGGUGACAAAGAGGGGACAAGAUGUAACUAUGAGUUGUGAGCCAAUUUCAGGCCAUGACAACCUCUACUGGUAUAGACAGAUCUCAGUGAAAGGACUGGAGUUUAUGAUGUACUUCAGCUAUGAAAAACCUCUGGACCAGACAGGGCUGCCCAAUGCCCGAUUCUCAGCUCAGAUGCCUAACGGGUCACUCUCCACUCUGAAGAUCCAGCCCACUGAACCCGAGGACUCAGCCCUGUACCUCUGUUCCAGCAGCUUAGCCACAGCACUGCACAGUCACCCCCUCCCUGUGCAGAAACCUCCUGCUUCCCCUUCUCUCACCAGCCCCCAGGUGCCCUGUGUAAAAGUUUUCUCUGCUUUGCUGUCACCAAGAGACAAUGUGUGGUUUGGGGCAUGA